rnacentral:misc_RNA from 1 species
AACUUCCACCUGGCUUACCUCCUCAGUUAUGCGUCAAGGCUUGUAUCGCCCCGAGCGUAUUGUGGGUUUCCUGUGUUGCUUACCUAAUUGACGGUAUUGUUUGAAUUGAUUGAAGUCCCUUUUCGUCUUGUGUUGCAUAUGUGAUGCAUGACGAACCUUGAUGCGGUCUCUAUGAUCCACCCCGUUGAUGCAAAUGUAUCGAUCGUGUGGCCCAUUGAGCAUUGCUUGGUCUCUUGGAUACGGAACAUGGUGUGGGCAUAGGGUCUCUUAUGAUCCUUGUUUGCCCUCGUUUAGUGUUCUCUAGAACGACGGUUCACGCGCGCCUAGGCUCGUACCUGCGCGGUGUUCUAUGUCGAAGAGGAAUGCUACCUGGUUGAUCCUGCCAGUA